GACCUUGAAAACCAUACAAAGACAUGUUCACAUGAUGGUAUUUCCCAGUCCUCUAUUUAAUGAACUGAUGAAUAAGACACCUAUUGAUGAUCAACUGUUUACCCCUGAAUUGACUUUUAAAGACCAUGCAUUAUCCAGAUGGUAUUUCCC